rnacentral:rRNA from 1 species
AGCGUACACGGUGGAUGCCCUGGCAGUCAGAGGCGAUGAAGGACGUGCUAAUCUGCGAAAAGCGUCGGUAAGGUGAUAUGAACCGUUAUAGCCGGCGAUGUCCGAAUGGGGAAACCCAGUGCAAUUCGUUGCACUAUCGUUAACUGAAUACAUAGGUUAACGAGGCGAACCGGGGGAACUGAAACAUCUAAGUACCCCGAGGAAAAGAAAUCAACCGAGAUUCCCCCAGUAGCGGCGAGCGAACGGGGAGCAGCCCGGAGUCUGAAUCAGCUUGUGUGUUAGUGGAAGCGUCUGGAAAGUCGCAGGGUACAGGGUGAUACUCCCGUACACUAAAACACACAGGCUGUGAACUCGAAGAGUAGGGCGGGACACGUGGUAUCCUGUCUGAAUAUGGGGGGACCAUCCUCCAAGGCUAAAUACUCCUGACUGACCGAUAGUGAACCAGUACCGUGAGGGAAAGGCGAAAAGAACCCCGGCGAGGGGAGUGAAAAAGAACCUGAAACCGUGUACGUACAAGCAGUAGGAGCCCACUAGUUGGGUGACUGCGUACCUUUUGUAUAAUGGGUCAGCGACUUAUAUUCUGUAGCAAGGUUAACCGAAUAGGGGAGCCGCAGGGAAACCGAGUCUUAACUGGGCGUUAAGUUGCAGGGUAUAGACCCGAAACCCGGUGAUCUAGCCAUGGGCAGGUUGAAGGUUGGGUAACACUAACUGGAGGACCGAACCGACUAAUGUUGAAAAAUUAGCGGAUGACUUGUGGCUGGGGGUGAAAGGCCAAUCAAACCGGGAGAUAGCUGGUUCUCCCCGAAAGCUAUUUAGGUAGCGCCUCGUGAACUCAUCUUCGGGGGUAGAGCACUGUUUCGGCUAGGGGGUCAUCCCGACUUACCAACCCGAUGCAAACUACGAAUACCGAAGAAUGUUAUCACGGGAGACACACGGCGGGUGCUAACGUCCGUCGUGAAGAGGGAAACAACCCAGACCGCCAGCUAAGGUCCCAAAGUCAUGGUUAAGUGGGAAACGAUGUGGGAAGGCCCAGACAGCCAGGAUGUUGGCUUAGAAGCAGCCAUCAUUUAAAGAAAGCGUAAUAGCUCACUGGUCGAGUCGGCCUGCGCGGAAGAUGUAACGGGGCUAAACCAUGCACCGAAGCUGCGGCAGCGACGCUUAUGCGUUGUUGGGUAGGGGAGCGUUCUGUAAGCCGUUGAAGGUGGCCUGUGAGGGUUGCUGGAGGUAUCAGAAGUGCGAAUGCUGACAUAAGUAACGAUAAUGCGGGUGAAAAACCCGCACGCCGGAAGACCAAGGGUUCCUGUCCAACGUUAAUCGGGGCAGGGUGAGUCGACCCCUAAGGCGAGGCCGAAAGGCGUAGUCGAUGGGAAACAGGUUAAUAUUCCUGUACUUGGUGUUACUGCGAAGGGGGGACGGAGAAGGCUAUGUUGGCCGGGCGACGGUUGUCCCGGUUUAAGCAUGUAGGCGGAUGUUCCAGGUAAAUCCGGAACGUUAUUAACGCUGAGGUGUGAUGACGAGGCACUACGGUGCUGAAGUGACAAAUGCCCUGCUUCCAGGAAAAGCCUCUAAGCAUCAGGUAACAUCAAAUCGUACCCCAAACCGACACAGGUGGUCAGGUAGAGAAUACCAAGGCGCUUGAGAGAACUCGGGUGAAGGAACUAGGCAAAAUGGUGCCGUAACUUCGGGAGAAGGCACGCUGAUGGUAAGUGAAGUGACUUGCUCAUGGAGCUGAAAUCAGUCGAAGAUACCAGCUGGCUGCAACUGUUUAUUAAAAACACAGCACUGUGCAAACACGAAAGUGGACGUAUACGGUGUGACGCCUGCCCGGUGCCGGAAGGUUAAUUGAUGGGGUUAUCCUCGCGGAGAAGCUCUUGAUCGAAGCCCCGGUAAACGGCGGCCGUAACUAUAACGGUCCUAAGGUAGCGAAAUUCCUUGUCGGGUAAGUUCCGACCUGCACGAAUGGCGUAAUGAUGGCCAGGCUGUCUCCACCCGAGACUCAGUGAAAUUGAACUCGCUGUGAAGAUGCAGUGUACCCGCGGCAAGACGGAAAGACCCCGUGAACCUUUACUAUAGCUUGACACUGAACACUGGUCCUUGAUGUGUAGGAUAGGUGGGAGGCUUUGAAGUGUGGACGCCAGUCUGCAUGGAGCCGUCCUUGAAAUACCACCCUUUAAUGGCUGGUGUUCUAACGUGGGCCCGUGAUCCGGGUUGCGGACAGUGUCUGGUGGGUAGUUUGACUGGGGCGGUCUCCUCCUAAAGAGUAACGGAGGAGCACGAAGGUCAGCUAAUCCUGGUCGGACAUCAGGAGGUUAGUGCAAUGGCAUAAGCUGGCUUGACUGCGAGCGUGACGGCGCGAGCAGGUGCGAAAGCAGGUCAUAGUGAUCCGGUGGUUCUGAAUGGAAGGGCCAUCGCUCAACGGAUAAAAGGUACUCCGGGGAUAACAGGCUGAUACCGCCCAAGAGUUCAUAUCGACGGCGGUGUUUGGCACCUCGAUGUCGGCUCAUCACAUCCUGGGGCUGAAGUAGGUCCCAAGGGUAUGGCUGUUCGCCAUUUAAAGUGGUACGCGAGCUGGGUUUAGAACGUCGUGAGACAGUUCGGUCCCUAUCUGCCGUGGGCGCUGGAGAAUUGAGGGGGGCUGCUCCUAGUACGAGAGGACCGGAGUGGACGCAUCACUGGUGUUCGGGUUGUCAUGCCAAUGGCAUUGCCCGGUAGCUAAAUGCGGAAGAGAUAAGUGCUGAAAGCAUCUAAGCACGAAACUUGCCCCGAGAUGAGUUCUCCCUGACUCCUUGA